AACGCGCGCCUGCCACUCUGUCUAGUCUCGGUCAGGAGCGUCACAGAAGCCCGUGUCGUCUCCACGACACCAGUCCUCUGUGACAUCUGCCUCGGGCUUUUCGUAGCUCUCUCCUUAACCCGCCUGACUCUUCAGCACUUCCUUGUCGGAGUUCCUCUUUCCCAAACUGUCCCCACUAGGAUUACCGCCGUUUCAUGAGCGGCUGGAAAUUACAGGAUCUUGGGGGAAAUCCCAGCACUUUAAGACCCCCUGAAACGAGCCGGAGGAGAAGGAGGGACAUAGGACACGGCUGAGUCCUGAAAUUCAGGGGAAGAGGGUGAUCACAUGCUGACUUGAAACCUGAGAAAGGAAUAUUAGGGGUUUCUGGUUGGUUGGUUGCAAUUGGGAGCAUCUUUGAGUACUGAUAGGAAAUUAUUGUAAAGUUGAAGAAGAUAUAGACGAUGCAAGGAUGCAAGACGUUUCCUCCAGAGCAGGAGAAUUUUCUACUCAAAGGAUGGCAGAUGGUAUGAGACUGUAGUUCAGAAGAAGAAAAGUUUCACAGAGACUAAAAGAAAAAGGGGCCAGUGAAAUAUGGAGGAUCUAGUUGAAGUUUGUAACUCUCUGCUUUAUAAAUUUUAAUCUAUUAAUUUUAAAUUAAAAGUCAGAUUUAUACUAAAA